AGCUCAUCUGGUAGAGCGUCAGGUUCGCAAUCUGAAGGUGGCCGGUUCGAGUCCGGUA
rnacentral:tRNA from 1 species